GAGGGUAUAGCUCAGUGCUGGAGAGUUGCUCCUUAGCAUGCAGGAGGUCCUGGGUUCAAUCCUCAGUACCUCCA
rnacentral:tRNA from 1 species